AAAGCCUGAUCCAGCCAUGCCGCGUGUGUGAAGAAGGUCUUCGGAUUGUAAAGCACUUUAAGUUGGGAGGAAGGGCAGUAAGUUAAUACCUUGCUGUUUUGACGUUACCAACAGAAUAAGCACCGGCUAACUUCGUGCCAGCAGCCGCGGUAAUACGAAGGGGGCUAGCGUUGCUCGGAAUCACUGGGCGUAAAGCGCACGUAGGCGGAUCGUUAAGUCAGGGGUGAAAUCCUGGGGCUCAACCUCAGAACUGCCCUUGAUACUGGCGAUCUCGAGUUCGAGAGAGGUUGGUGGAACUCCGAGUGUAGAGGUGAAAUUCGUAGAUAUUCGGAAGAACACCAGUGGCGAAGGCGGCCAACUGGCUCGAUACUGACGCUGAGGUGCGAAAGCGUGGGGAGCAAACA
rnacentral:rRNA from 1 species